AACGAACGCUGGCGGCGUGCUUAACACAUGCAAGUCGAGCGCGAAAGUCACCUUCGGGUCGAGUAGAGCGGCAGACGGGUGAGUAACACGUGGAUAAUCUGCCUUUAGGUGGGGAAUAACCAUUCGAAAGGAUGGCUAAUACCGCAUAAGACCACAUCACUUCGGUGAAGGGGUUAAAGACUUCGGUCGCCUAAUGAGGAGUCCGCGCCUGAUUAGCUAGUUGGUGAGGUAACGGCUUACCAAGGCAACGAUCGGUAGCUGGUUUGAGAGGAUGAUCAGCCACACUGGUACUUAGACACGGACCAGACUCCUACGGGAGGCAGCAGUGGGGAAUAUUGCGCAAUGGGCGAAAGCCUGACGCAGCAACGUCGCGUGUGAUGAAGGCCUUAGGGUCGUAAAGCCUUGUCAGAUGGGAAGAAACCUACUUCGGUAGCUGACGGUACCAUCAAAGGAAGCACCGGCUAACUCCGUGCCAGCAGCCGCGGUAAUACGGAGGGUGCAAGCGUUGUUCGGAAUCACUGGGCGUAAAGGGCGCGUAGGCGGACCUGCAAGUCUGAUGUGAAAGCCCGGGGCUCAACCCCGGAAGUGCAUUGGAAACUGUAGGUCUUGAGUUCGGGAGAGGAAGGCAGAAUUCCAGGUGUAGGGGUGAAAUCCGUAGAUAUCUGGAGGAAAAUCAGUGGCGAAGGCGGCCUUCUGGAACGUAACUGACGCUGAGGCGCGAAAGCGUGGGGAGCAAACAGGAUUAGAGACCCUGGUAGUCCACGCCGUAAACGAUGGAUGCUAGGUGUAGGGGAUAUUAAAAUUCCCUGUGCCGUAGCUAACGCGAUAAGCAUCCCGCCUGGGGAGUACGGUCGCAAGACUAAAACUCAAAGGAAUUGACGGGGGCCUGCACAAGCGGUGGAGUAUGUGGUUUAAUUCGACACAACGCGCAGAACCUUACCAGGGUUUGACAUCCCGUGACAACCAUAGAGAUAUGGCUUUCCCUUCGGGGACACGGUGACAGGUGCUGCAUGGCUGUCGUCAGCUCGUGUCGUGAGAUGUUGGGUUAAGUCCCGCAACGAGCGCAACCCCUGUCCUAUGUUGCUAACAGGUAAUGCUGAGCACUCUUAGGAGACUGCCGGUGUCAAGCCGGAGGAAGGUGGGGAUGACGUCAAGUCCUCAUGGCCCUUAUGCCCUGGGCUACACACGUACUACAAUGGCCGGUACAAAGAGCAGCUAACUCGCGAGAGUACGCAAAUCUCAAAAAGCCGGUCUCAGUUCGGAUUGGAGUCUGCAACUCGACUCCAUGAAGGCCGAAUCG
rnacentral:rRNA from 1 species